CCCAGUCUGACAUUUCUGAGCAGUGUCCUUGUGUUUGUUCCUGCCGUGUAUUAUCUUGGAUUGUUUGUACUGCCUGUGAUUCUCUGCUGCCUGCCCCUUUUACCACUGCUCUUGUUUUUCGACUCUGUUUAUGCUGAUUGCUGCCUGCCCCGACCUCUGCCUGGAAUACGUCUGUCUCUGGAUUAUCUGUGUUAUCCCUGAUGCUGGUGAUUGAUCUUGUCUGUUUCUGACCGUGAUUAAUAAAAGCUGCAAAUGGAUCCGCUCACCUUUGACUCCUUGUUACAAAAGACUUCGCCCUACCAGGAUCCAGCAGCCUCUCGUCAACCGAGAUACCUGUUCCCACCUCUGUGUCAGCGUUUCACCUAUCCAGCUCAACCAUAGAUCCAGUCGACCAGCUACUGCGGCAAGUCUGCGGCAAGGAGAUUGUUCUAUUGAGGAUUACAUACAGCAGUUCUUCCUACCUGACCAGACUUGCUCUCCUGUGCCAUUGACUCCACUGUGGUGGUCCUCUGCUCCGCCCUGGUGGGCUCCUGCCUCGCCAGUCUCAACCUGGCUCUCUGCUUUGCCUGCUCCUCACUGGUGGUCUUCGGCUCUGCCCUGGCACCCUGCUCUGCCUCCCUCCUCUGUCCAUCCACUUCCACAUGGACCUGGCCCUCCAUCCCUCCCCCUGUUCUGCCUCUGCUCCACCUCCCACCUGAACUUUGGUCUGUUCUCAGUUAGGAGCGUCUGGAAGCCCCUUUGACCACUGCUCUUGUUUUUCGACUCUGUUUAUGCUGAUUGCUGCCUGCCCCGACCUCUGCCUGGAAUACGUCUAUCUCUGGAUUAUCUGUUAUCCCUGACGCUGGUGAUCUUGUCUGUUUCUGACCGUGAUUAAUAAAAGCUGCAAAUGGAUCUGCUCACCUUUGACUCCUUGUUACAACAUUCCUGCUUUGUGUGUGUAUAUA
ensembl:lncRNA